GACCUUUGGAAUUGAAGAGUUUGAGAAGCUGAUCAACGGUGGAGUUUGCUUGCGGCAGAUUGGAACCUACUCUGGCCGCCAUUGAUAUCUUCCCGUCCCAUCGUCCCUUCUUCACCUGAAAAAUGACCAGAUUUCUUUGAAUCAAGAGAAGGGCUCUAACCAAAUGGACAAAAUCUCUGGCUGCAAUUGCGAGGAUGUCAGCACAAGACACAACGCCAGGGCACUUGCUCUCAACCAACGCUUUGGCCUUCUUGAUGCUUUCAAACCCCUCCGGUCUCAGCCCCUUGUUGUCCGCUGCAUCCUUCUCCGCUGCCACUUUGCUGCCAGGCUUCGUCGAUAUCAGAAUCGACCCAUCACAGCCCUGCCAUUUUCAAGAGCUUCUCAACAUUUUUCAAACACAACCAGUUUGGUAUAAAAUUUGGCAGCCACUGAAAACAAUGAAAUAAAUUGAAGGCUGAUAAAAGCUGAUAGAGAGAGAGCGUGGUGGACAGAAGGGCGUGUAAUAAGCCAAGCCAAGCAUGAGUAAUGAACUUCAUAAAUGCAAGGCAUGUGCUACCACAGACGUUGAUCAAAUUAUUACAGGUACUCUCUAGUUGUAGCACAGGGCAAAAUAAGCUGCAGGAGGAUUGUACUAACAUGCCGCCAGUGACUUUCUCAAGGCUCCGUAUGAGAAGAAAGAAGUCUCUGUGUUUUUAGUCUGCAGUCAUUCCACUGAAAACCGUUCGAGUACUUUGAUGCUUCAAAAGUCAGAAUUGCUUAGUUUCAAAGAUUUUGAAGUUUGGAAGAACAUGGUGAAGAGUGGCACAGCCGUUCAUGAGAUUCCCCACCCCAAUUAAAAUAUUUCCCCUCCUACUUCAAUGUAAAGCUACAAAGUAAAAAGUUUGUAGGGUUGUUUCUUGAGAAUAAUAAUUAAUAGAUGUAAUUAGCUAGAUGGGCACCACGUUUAUUUUAAGUUGAACUGCUUGAGAUAUAUAUCAGUUGGGGUGUACAUUCAA